UCUGCCCUAGGGCCCUGCGGGGUUGGCGGGAGCACCGGCUGACCCGGCGUUUGAGGCCGGAGGCGGGGAGGCAGCCGAGGGCGCGUGAAAGGCACGUGUUCGCUCCGCAAAGUGAGCGGCUCGAAGACCCGGUAGAGUGGGGGCGUCAGACAUUGUCUGUCGAACAGUUUAAAUCCAGCUUUUCAGGUCAGUCACCGUCUCAGGGUGUUUUGGAGUUCUGCCAAAGCAUUUAACAAACUGUUUUUAUGGGGAAGAAACCCUGAGAGUUGGAAGGGCCUUUGUCGCCUCGUCCAGGUCCCGGAGGAAAAAAUUACGAUUUUUAGAUGAAGGGAGUUGACACCUGCGGACCAGCUAGAGUGAGCCAGGCUCGUUCUUGUCCUCUGAGCAGCCCUGAAGGGAAAAUGCUGUCGCCCUGUUUUGCUGAUGUGUAACGUGAGGGCCGUGAAGAUUAAUUAGAUGACUUCCCCGAGGACCUGAGACUUGCAAGUGGUUGAAGUCCCAAGUAAUUUUAUUAUUUGUGCUUCAUCAUAGGUGGGGGGCAAGACUGAAGGCCGUGUAGAACAGUUUGGACUUAUUCUGAACCCUUUCUCCAGAUGUUACAAGGUGAUGGUUGGUAGGCUGAGCUGAGCCUCUCAAAGGCCUGAGACCCUCUCUCAGGCUGACGUAAGUAACCCUCGGAGGGAAUGGAAAUGCCUGAGAAGAGAUUGAGAUGCUGGAAGACUCACUGGGCUCCGGAAGGGGAAACACCGCUCACAGAAAUAUUAAUUUAAAAAAAAUUCCUUACUGGUAAGCAUAUUUGGAUGGUGACACUUUUUGUAAGACAAGUGAAGACUUCUCAGGCUUAUGCCUACUAUAUUUUACACAGAAAAGUGGGGUAUGGGAAAUUUGCCGUUUUUGUCAAAGUAUCAUUUAAAAAAUACAGGAGCACGUGUCAAAGAUUUACCUAACCCAUUAAUUAGGGAACCAGCAGGAUGAUAAAAAAUAAUUUGAAAAACUGGUUUAUAGAGUCAGUGUAAAAACGUGAGCCAUGGCCGCAGAGCCUGUGCGUCCGGAGCCUGUGCUCUGCAACGGGAGAGGCCACAACAGUGAGAGGCCCGCGUACCGCAAAAAAAAGAUAAAAACAAAAAAAAAGAAACGCGGAAGCCCAGCCGAGACCUCACCUAAAGCUGUAAUCAUCCUGUGAUAUGAGCAGGUUCCCCCAGUGCUUAUGAAGGCUUUGGGAGGGGGACGUCCCAUCUGGUUAGAUCUUUGAGUAUUGACUGCAGGGGAGGGGUCUGCCUAGGAGGGGAGUCGAUCCUGUUCUGCGUGCAGAGAAUCCCUGAUACCCCCUCGUGGCCGCAGGUGCCCGGGAGGAGCUGUCCGCUGCUGUAAUGAGUCUUAGGGGCACAGUGUUGUGCUCAGUGUUGGAGCUAAAUGUUUCCUUUUUAACAUUACAGAGUAGAAUCUACCAUGUUUGACACUCCUGCAGUCGUAGUAUUAUUUUAAUUUCCGAUCUUUAAACCAUCAGGUGCUGUUAUAAUGAUGUGUGAAAAGCCUGUCGUGCUCAGUCACGAGGGACAUUCUGACACCGUUAUUUAGUUAACCAUGCAGACCGGGAGCCGGAAGCACCCGGGCUCCCUCUGUCUCACUGACACAUCACUUCUGUUGGUUGCUGUGUCCUGGUGAUCCUGCCUCCUAAGUAUUUUUUCAUUUCCCCCCCUUUUCCCCUACCACUGUCUUACCUCAGGCACUUAUCAUGUUUGGGUUACUGUCGCUUAGAUUACUGGGUUCCUAUAACAGCCACUGACCGGUUUUGCUGAUCUCAGCCCUGCAUCUGCAAUCCACUCUCUUCCUGCUUCCUGACUGAUCUCCCUACCUUGUAAACCUGACACGAUACUCAUAAUUCUCCCCUAAUCAUCCCCCGCUUGGCUGAAAAUCUCACAGUGGGACCCCUUCGCCUCCAAACAAAUCCAAACUUCUUAGCCUGACGUAUACGGUCCUCAAGACUUGGCCCUAGCCUAUGGCCCAGUUUAUCUCUCACCAGCCCCACACUUGAACCUUUUCGUUUCCGGUGAACUUGGGAUGCUCAGUUUCUCUCUCUGUAUUUGCAUGUUCUCUCAUUCCAGGCACUAUCUUAUCUGGGAAGUCUCCUCUGACCCUCCACUGGGUGUGUCCCCUCCUUCUGUGAUUUCACAGGAGAUCUCUGGUGAUCUUCUCAGGCUUCUCUUUCUCCAAGUAGCUGUCACUAUGUUAUGUGUGUGAUCAAGAAAUUGAAGCACAGAGAGCCUAAGUAGCUUGCCCAGCGUCUCCCAGUUACUAAGUGGAUGACCUGCUCUGGAAGCUCAGACGCUCAACCACAGUGUUUUCUCUGUGUGAUCAGAGAACCAAGGACAUGGAUUAUGGUGAAAACAUACAUACAGAGUUUCUGAGCAAGUUGAAAGGCUCUGAGAACCUCCUCGCUUUGGAGGAUGUCCCACCAGAGUGAAGACAUUCAGAUGGAGAAGACUGCUGCCUUGGUCGUCACCUGUCCACUAAACACAGAGCGCCGUCCAGACCCCCUUCAGGCAGAGGGCUGGAAGCAGUGCGGGCACUAGCUGCCUUGGCGUGGGAAUGAAGGGACCAUGAAAACCCUUUGGGCCAGUCUCUGGCCUCCGAUAUCCUGCAGUCUCCACUCCUCUCCAGCGAAAACAAUCAGAUUGGUCUGAGAGGAGAGACCACCUUCUUGUUUCGCAGGUCUUAGGAGAGUUGAGGAAUCUUUUUUUUUUCCCAGCCUUAAUCCACGUGGCACAUGUGUAUUUGGAUGAGAAAGGGUGCCUCAGCCGGGCAUAUGCAGCCCCAUGAGAACCUGGCUUGGCGAGCUCAGCCGGCUUGACGUCGGCCCUGCCCUUUGUCCCUUCGUCCAGGUGCCCUGAGAUAACACGCACCCGUGCACACCUGUGCUUGUUUCACGGCCCUCUGGUGGCCCUGAUGUCAGAUAUUGAAAAUUGCGGUUCAUUCCUCAGCGUCUUCGGGAGGUGCUUAUGAGUGGUUGCCGUGAGCCAGGUGUGUCCUAAACACCAGGAAGAUGGUGGUGAACCAGAGCCUUGCUUCCAGGGAGCUCACAUUCUGCUGCAAGGAGGGUCCCAUCCAGGGCACCACGUGGCAUUUGAUCAUGUCCUGAGUCUCCUCGGGUUGGCGACAGUUUCUCAGCCUUCCUUUGUUUUUCAUGACCUUUCCAGCAUUGAGGAGCACCAGUCAGGCAUUUCACAGAAUGUUCCUCAAUUUGGAGUUGUCUGAUGUUUUGUUUAUGACUGGACUGGAGCCAUAGGUCUCUGGGGAGGAUCUCACAGAGGUGAAGUGGCCUUCUUCUCGCAUCGUGUCAGGGUGCUUUCUGCCAACACAGCUUCUCACUGUGAUAGUAACCCCGAUCACUUGGUGGAGGCGGCGUUUGCAAAGUCUCUGCGGUACAAUUACUACUUCCUCCUUUUCAUACUCUGUUCUUUGGAGGCCGGAACUGAGUCCAGCCCGUGCUUGAGGAUGUAGGAGGUGAAGCUUCAUGUUGUGGACAGGGAGUAGUUGCUUAAGUGAUUUGGAAUAUUCUGCAAGGAAUAUUGGCCUCUUCCCUCCCAUUUUAAAAUUUGAGCCAUCAUUUAUUUAUAUCACCGGGGUAGGCGGAAUAUCAGCCCCUCCAAAGAUGGCCACGGCCUAAUCCCUGGAGGCUGUAAGUUUGUUACCUUACACAGCAAAAGGGAUUUUACAGGUGGGACUGAGUUAGGGAUCUUGAAAUGGGAGGUUAUCCUGGUUUAUCUGGUGGGCCCAGUGGAAUCAUAGGUAUCCUUUUAAGAGGCAGGUAGGAAUUUCUGCACCUGUCUCGUUGUUCGGCUCUGCUCGCUGAUGCUCAGUCCUGUGAACUUUAGCUGCCUUGGCCUCCUUGGACUCCCAGUUCUAAUGUCUCCUCAGCUCAGCGAGACCCUGGGCUCUGACUGGGUCUCCCUUUCUGUACCAGGGUCUGGAAAAUUUCUCAAGGCAGGAAGCUGGAGGUCAUUGUAGACAUCAUUUUAUUUGUUUCCCUUCUCUCUGGGGUGACUGUCCUGUGCUACCUGUUAUCCAGUGUCUGAAAACCUCUGUUUCAUGUAUUUUGGCCCUUUUUCCAGUCAUCUCUGGUGAGAGGGUAAAUCUGGUCUCCCUUGGCCCAUUUUGCCUGGAAGUAGAAGUCUUCUUAUUCUUCCCACAAAUAAUUUUUAAUGAAUGGCUGAACUAUAAUUCAUUUAAGAAGUGUCUGUUGUUUGUGACUGCUGAAUGAUUUUCAUUGUAUUGAUGUGGAAUCAGUUAUUUAACGGGCAGCCUAUGGUUUGACAUUUGGGUCAAGUUUGAGUUUUCCUUUUUCUAAACACAUCUACGAGACUAUCUUGUAGCCACACACUGUGACCUGCAUGCUUAUUUCCUUAUGAUAUAUUUUUAGAUACAGAAGACUGGCUCGUGGGGUGUGCAGCACCUAAAAGCAGCCUUGUGUUGUCAAGUCGUGCUCCAGAGAGAUGGUGCCAAGUUACAUGUUGCCCACGUGUAACUUCCUCAAAGUCACCUUUUCUCUUGGCUUUUUCAUGUCAUCUUCUUUGGUACGAACCUCCUCAUAUUGGUGGGACCCUCUGUCAUAAUAAUUCUGAGUUCCAGAAUUAUAACAUCUGACACUUUGAAAAGAUGAAUAUUUAGACCAUCCCAUUAGUCUUGAUUAACCCUAUAGUAAUUACAUUUCAUAUUUCUGUGAAAAUGUGUAAUCUGAGCCAUGAAGGAAUUAAAAAAAAAAACAUGUCAAUAGCCCCUAACCUCUCGGUUGGGCUAUAGACUGAAUGUUUCUGUCCCUUCCGAUGUGACGGUGUUAGGAGGUGGGGCCUUUGGGAGAUGGUUAGGUCAUGAGGGUGGGGCCUUCAUGAAUGGAAUUUGUGCCCUUAGAAAGGGAUUCCAAGGAGCUCUCUCUCUGCCUUCUGCCCUGUGGGGACACAGCGAGAAGAUGGUCAUCUGUGAACCAGGAAGCAGGCCCUCAGCAGACACUGAAUCUGCCAGACCUUGACUGGACUUCCCAGCCACCAGAACUGGGAGAAAAAGGCUAGCUAUGUGACAACAUAGCCCCCAGUCGAUGGUAUUUUGGCUACAGCAGACUGAGCAGACUAAGACAGUAGGCCCUCAAAUUAGAAACACAUAGAAACAUGGGCAAAUAGAACAACAGCAAAGAGCGGAUGCAUUCCACCUGUCUGAUCAAACUGCAGCUGGAAGUGAGAGACAAAGCCAGGCUCUCUGCUUGGUGCGGGGAGAGUGGGGCUGGGAGAAUGUGGGGAAAACCAACAGCCCAGGACCACACUGCAGUGCUGGCAGGCAAACUGUGCCCUGUCCCUUUUCCUUGUGUAUAUUUCUUAAGAAGGGUUUAUAUGUAUUAUUUAAUCCUAUUUUUUUUUAUUGAAGUGAAAUUGACAAAACACAACAUAAACCGUUUUGAAGUGUAGAGUUCUGUGGCAUUUCGUGCACUCACAAUGUCAGGCCACCGUCACCACCAGCUGGUUCCAGGACGUUUUCAUCACCCUGAAAGAAAACCCCAUUAAGCAAACACCAGUCUGCAUGUGGUCUCUGUGGAUUUACUUAUUCUGGAAACUUCAUACAAGUGGAAGCAUACAGUAUGCUUCUUACGACCGGCUUCUUUCACCAAGAAUAAUGUUUUCAAGGUUCAUCCAUGUUGUGACACGCAUCAGAACUUCAUUCCUUUUUAUGGCUGAAUAAUAUUCCAUUGUAUGGAUAGACCACAAUUUGCUUGUCCAUUCACCUGCUGAUGGACAUCUGAGUUAUUUCCACCUUUUGGCCACCGUGAAUAGUGCCGCUAUGUACAUUAACAUACCAGUAUUUGUUUGAGUAUUGGUCCCUAUUUUUAACCCAAGUGGGGACAUUAUAUUUGCCUCGAUAUUUCCCACAUUGCAGCUUUGGCUCAACUGUCUUGCUCAGGGGUUCUCAGUACUGUAUGCACAUCACCCAGGGAACUUUUAACAAAUGUAUGCUGGGACCCCACCCCCAAACAAUGACAUCAAAUCUUUGAAAGCUCCCCAGGUGACUGUACCUGGUGGCCAGGGUGGAACAGCAUGGGCCCCUUGCCCAGCGUUCUGAGUUUACCACGCAGCAGACUCACCUGGAGGCCUUGCGAAAACACAGAUUUUUGAGAUUCUGUCUCGGUAAGUCAGGGGUGGCACACACCCGUUUGUAUUUCCAGUAAGUUACCAGGUGAUGCCGAUGCAGGAGCCAUGCUUUGGAAAUCACUGGCCUCUUGCCCAUCAGAACGAGGUGGGGGCAUCAGGGUCACUGGGAAGGUCUGGCAACUCCUUCCCGUCUUUCAUGCUUUGCUCUGGUUGGCAAAGGCAGCAUCUGUAUUUUAGAAACUUCCCAGCUCACUUUGCUUACUCCCUCUCCUCCCACUUGCAGUUGAGAACCAUCCUUCAAGCUUCCAUGUAUUUCUGGAUACGGCUUCUCCAUCCAUCCUGUUUCCUACCCCUACCAGCCAUGUAAGCCUUCACCCUUGUAUUCACGUUGUUCUUCCAUCUAAACGCCUUCCUCCUUCUGUUGUUAUGCUUUAGUGGGUGUCUUUCACCCACUAAAGCAUCACCCUGAUAACUUCUCUGACGUGCUCCCCAGUCCCUGAAUUCUCGUUGUAUCUACAAGGCUGCGAGGCACUAGGAUAUAGAACACAGCGUACUGUUUUCAGUUAUUCACAGACUGUUUCAUCUGGGCAAUGAGUUGCUUUGUGUUUCUUUCAUACUCUCCUUGUGCUAUGUACUUAUUAGGACCUCAGUAUAAAGGAGGAAAAGAUGUUAGAGUAUUUCUCUAGGAGAGCAUUUGCCCAGUCGUCCUAUUAUACAAAGAUUGCUGAGUGAGUGACCUUGAAUUCUACGCAAGGGGCCUGGUUACCGAAAUGCCUUGUCACAAGGCAACUUGCCUACAAAAGGCUCCACAGCACAGAUACCAAAGGCAGGGUUUUUGCAGUGGCCAGCUGUGAUACUAGGUCUACUUUUUCUACAUACAAACAGUGCACAUUACUAAUUAAAUAAUAUACAAUUUAGAAUUGUUAUUUUCCUUGGAAACCACGCAGUAUCUCCCACAGGGCAAUUAGGAGAAAAAUCCCUGUUUUUCUCAGAAGCAAAUUGGAUAAAACAUAAAAUGAGGUGUCAGGUGUGGUGAUACCUAAAGCCUUGAACUUGUUCUGACUUUUGUCUAUGUCCACUCACUGGGCCUGUAGUUCUCACCUAGAAUUUUACGUGCUGCCCAACUAAUGGCGUUGAGAAGGGCACUGUGGAUGAAGCUCUGUCAGGGGUCGGCAGACUGCGGGGCCUGGGUCAGAGCUGGCUCCCACUCCUUUUUUAUUUUAUUCUAUUUUAUUUAUAUUUUUGGCUGCAUGGGGUCUUAGUUGUGGCAUGCGGGCUUCUCCCUAGUUGUGUUGCAUGGGCUCCAGAGCACGUGGGCUCUGUACUUUGCGGCGCACGGCUCUCUCGUUGAGAUGCGUGGGCUCAGCAGUUGAGGCGCGCGGGUUUAGUUGCCCCAAGGCACGUGAGAUCUUAGUUCCCCGGCCAGGGAUUGAACCCGCAUCCCCUGCAUCAUUGGAAGGUGGAUUCUUUACCACUGGACCACCGGGGAAGUCCCUCCCACCCCCUUUUGUAAAUAAAGGUUUACUGGAGCGGUCCCAUCCAUUUGUUUACCUAGUGUCUGUGGUGGUUUUCUCUGUACAAAGGCAGAGUGGAGUAGUUGCAACAGAGACCGUGCAUCAAUCUGCUGGGGCUGCCAUAACAAGCAAUACAGACUGGGGGGCUUAGCUAUAGAGCUAUCUUCUUACAGUUCUGAAGCCUGAAGUCUGCAGUCCAGGUGGCAGCAGGGCUGGUUUCUUCUGAGGCCUCUCUCCUUGGCUUGUAGACGGCCGUCUUCUUCGUGUCCUCACACGAUUGCCCCUUAGUCUGUGUGUGUCUCUCUUCAUGUGAGGGCAUCAGCUGUAUUGGAUUAGGCCCCUGCCUAAUGGCCUCACUUUACCUUAAUUACUUCUGUAAAGACCCCCAUCUCCAAAUAGUCACACUCUAAGGUAUAGGGUUGAGGCUUCCACACAUGAAUUUGGUUGGGGGCACGAUUCAGCCCAUUAUAGACCGAAUGGCCACAAAGCCUAAAAUACCUGCCAUCUGGUCCUUCACAGGAGAGGCUGUUGACCUCUGUGAUACACUUUGAUUUCUCCUAUAGAAUACAGUGAAAUACAACUCCAGAUGAAACCACUGGAGUUCUUCUCCUCCCUUCUCUCUUCUCUCCAUGAGCAGCGUUGGUCACUGUGACGGUGUCCUGGGCCACGCUGCCACAUCUCUGAGAAGAACUUUAGUGAAUCCAUUCCCAUCAGAGACCCCAGAGCCACAGCCGUGCUGUGAUGAGCUAAAACCUCCACCUUCUGGAAGAACCGUUAUUUCCUCACACCUACUGAGGCAGGAGAUAGAUGGGCUCCAGGCCAACUGGCCUCCUGUUCACACCUCCUGGGGGGAGGAGGAAGGUGGGCUCCAGGUCAGACAUUCGUUACCAGCCCCCCGUUCACAUUUCCUGAGGCAAGAGACAAACGGGCUCCAGGGUUUAUGACUGGACUCCUGUCUAUAUUUCGAAAUCUGCACUUUGAUAUGAAAAACAGCAACAGGAAUAGGGUAGAUAACCAGACACUGGGCACUUUCACAGCAGGGACAGAGAGGGGCUAAACCCUGUUGAAAGAUCAAGAGGUUGUACCUUUCCCAUCCUUGGGGCGAGGGAGACAUUGCACAUGUGCAGAAAGGCUCCUUGGGGGUCAAAAAGGCAGGGAUGCCAGACCACAGUAAGUCUGCUGUCUCCCCCCCCAGAGGCCUUUGCAAUGAAACCCAUCUUGAUUGAGGGGUGCGUGCACACCCAGGGGAGGGUCCAGAGACAAAUUAGCCAUGGGGUCAAAACAAUAUGACUGGCCAAGGAGAAGGCAAAGACCUGGAAGACUGCCCCCUUUAAAAGGAUUUAAACCCCCCAGAGGCACGA